UGGAUUCCACUUUGGGCCUGUUGCUGGACCUUCUCUUCCUCAGGGUUCUCUCCAUUCCCAUCCCUGUAGUUCUUUAAGGAGCAAAUGAUAAACAGGAUGAGAAAGAAAUUAGGGAAACUACUCCCUUCACAAUAGCCACAAAUAAUAUAAAUUAUCUUGGGGUAACUCUAACCAAACAAGUGAAAGAUCUGUAUGACAACAACUUUAAGUCUCUCAAGAAAGAAAGUGAAGAUCUCAGAAAAUGGAAAGAUCUCCCAUGGUUAGGGAGUGUCAGAAUUAACAUAGUAAAAAUGGCCACCCCGACAAAGGCAAUCUACAGAUUCAAGGCAAUCCCAAUCAAAAUCCCAACACAAUUAUUCAAAGACAUGGAAAGAGCAAUUCUCACAUUCAUCUGGAAAGGCAAAAAAAAAAAAACAAAACAAAAACAAAAACAAAAAAAAAAAAACAAAAAACAAACAAACAAAAAAACAGAAUAGCGAAAACAAUUCUUAACAAUAAAAGAUUGUCUGGGAGAAUCACCAUCCCUGACCUCAAGCUUUACUACAGAGCAAUCGUGAUAAAACCGCAUGAACUAGGUUUUAAGUAAAAGCCAAAGCUCUGUUUUCCUGUUUUUAUACCUAUUCAAAAUUUUAACUUUAAAAAUUACUUUAAGAGGCAACUAGAGUGACAUUUUUUUCUUUUUCUUUAGUUCUUUUACAAUUUCAAACAUGUGUACAAGACAUUCUGGUAUCCCUCUUCCUUUAUUCUUAUGCCAACAUCUCCUUCCUAAGAGUGCUUUCUCCUAAUUACCUUUCCCUUUUCUAGAUUCAUGACCUAUGGCUUUGUCUUGAGAUUCCUUUACUUUAACCAAAGGCAUCUCUAUAACAGUUGCCUUGGUACUAUCCAUUGGUAUAUAGUUGGGUCACUUGUGGUACAAGACAAAAGGCAUGAGUCUACCAGUAAGAAGUUGCAGUGAGUCAUAGGGUGCAUUUAGCCUUCUUCUAUCCAAGCCUGGGUGUUGAUGGGACAAUUCCUUAGGAAAUAAUAAUACCUGGCUUUGUAACUCCACUAAAAAAUAGAUAGAUAGAUAGAUAGAUAGAUAGAUAGAUAGAUAGAUAGAUAGAUAGAUAGGUCGAUAGAUCGAUAGAUAGAUAGAUAGAUAGAUAGAUAGAUAGAUAGAUAGAUAGAUAGAUAGAUAGAUAGAUAAAAAUACCAUGGCUGGAGGGUCACAGACCCUAGGUGGAACUUACUUCUGACAUAGUGUCAAAGUGUUCUUACCUCUGUUUGAAGCUAUAGGAUGACACUCUCAUCCUUAAGUGAGAAACCUCUCUUUCUAAUGAACUAUAAAGAGUACAGAGAUCUGUGGCUGAACUAGGAGUAGAGAAAAAGGGAUAGUUGAGUACGUAUCUCUAAACAAGGUGUUUAUCCUGACCUCUCUAAGGCUCAGAAAACAUUGCUGUAGAGAAAGAGGCAAGGAGGUCAGACCUGGAAGAUUGGGAGACGGGGUAUCAAAUGUCACCUUCACCAUACUACACAGCCAUAGCAAUCAUAGACUCCUCAAUGGUGGAUGCCCGCACUGGAUCUGAAAAGCAAUGGGUCUUUCUCCUAGAAUUAAAAUACAGUACUAACAAAAUCGCUCACAAAUUCUAUCAAUGAUCUGUUAUUUAUUUCCAUUUCAAUAUGUGGUAAAAGAAUUUAAAAAUGGUAUCUGAGCACCAAAUUGAAUCAGUAUUUAUAAAAAUAACAUUUGGAAAAGUAUUUUUGCCUGGAUAGUUGUGCAUGAAUGCCACGUAAGUGCUAACUUAGUAGGGGCUGAUACUGGUGUACCAAUUACUCAUUUCCAUUUUGCAACCAGUUACACUGCUUUGGGAAAGAAUCCUGUUGUGAUUGUGUGUGUGUGUGUGUGUGUGUGUGUGUGUGUGUGUGUAUUUUGUAUGUUUGCGAAAUUUUAAAUACACUUCCUUACAUUUUUGAUACCUUCUUUUUUAUUUCUGUAGAGUAAAUUAUAUGUUUGGGUGCCUGUUUUUUGAGCAUGUAUGAGGGGGUCAGAAGACAAUUGUGCAAGUUGGUUCAUUGAUUAUGCCAUGUUUGAACCCAGGAAUUGAACUCUGGUGAUCAGCCUUGGUGGCAUUUGCCUUUAACUGUGGAGCCAUAUUUUUGUCCUAAAAAAUAAAAAAACAAACAAACAAAAAACAAACAAACAAACAAACAAAAACAACC
rnacentral:lncRNA from 1 species